UACAGAGGUCCCAAGCGUUGUUCGGAUUCACUGGGCGUAAAGGGUGCGUAGGUGGCUUGGUAAGUUUGAUGUGAAAUCUCCGGGCUUAACCCGGAAAUGGCAUUGAAUACUAUUGAGCUGGAGGUUUGGAGGGGGGACUGGAAUUCUCGGUGUAGCAGUGAAAUGCGUAGAUAUCGGGAGGAACACCAGUGGCGAAGGCGGUUGCCUGGGGCUUUGCUGACGCUGAUGCGCGAAAGCGUGGGGAGCGAUCCGG
rnacentral:rRNA from 1 species